CACAGUCCAAUAACACCAGCAUAAACACGUAACAGUCCAAUAACACCAGCAUAAACACGUAACAGUCCAAUAACACCAGCAUAAACACGUAACAGUCCAAUAACACCAGCAUAAACACGUAACACCACAGUCCAAUAACACCAGCAUAAACACGUAACACAGUCCAAUAACACCAGCAUAAACAGGUAACACAGUCCAAUAACACCAGCAUAAACAUGUAACACAGUCCAAUAACACCAGCAUAAACACGUAACACCACAGUCCAAUAACACCAGCAUAAACACGUAACACAGUCCAAUAACACCAGCAUAAACAGGUAACACAGUCCAAUAACACCAGCAUAAACAGGUAACACAGUCCAAUAACACCAGCAUAAACACGUAACACAGUCCAAUAACACCAGCAUAAACACGUAACACAGUCCAAUAACACCAGCAUAAACAUGUAACACAGUCCAAUAACACCAGCAUAAACAGGUAACACAGUCCAAUAACACCAACAUAAACAUGUAACACAGUCCAAUAACACCAGCAUAAACACGUAACACAGUCCAAUAACACCAGCAUAAACAUGUAACACAGUCCAAUAACACCAGCAUAAACACGUAACACAGUCCAAUAACACCAACAUAAACAUGUAACAGUCCAAUAACACCAGCAUAAACACGUAACACCACAGUCCAAUAACACCAGCAUAAACACGUAACACAGUCCAAUAACACCAGCAUAAACAUGUAACACAGUCCAAUAACACCAGCAUAAACAGGUAACACAGUCCAAUAACACCAGCAUAAACAGGUAACACAGUCCAAUAACACCAGCAUAAACAGGUAACACAGUCCAAUAACACCAGCAUAAACAGGUAACACAGUCCAAUAACACCAGCAUAAACAUGUAACACAGUCCAAUAACACCAGCAUAAAGAAAAUAGCCCAUAAAGUACCCUCCUUCCAAACACAACCUUACUUGACUUCAGAAAUACACUCAUUAUGCCAGUAGGACAUGCUGAGAAUGAUAAACACAAUACCCACUGACACACACGAUGCAGGAAUGCACACACACACACACACACACACACACACACACAAACACACAAAAACUCCCACUAUCAAAACAGGUCUAUACACCCAAACACAUAGAUUGGUAACUAAGGACAGAAAAACCUAGGAGAAUAACAAUCCUGCCUAGAGGUCACUGAAUCAAAUAAAUUAAACACGUGUGCAUGGGGACGUCUCAGUCAUAUUUCUGUGUAAGGGAUCUUCUCAUAUUUCUGUGUAAGGGAUCUUCUCAUAUGUCUGUGUAAGGGAUCUUCUCAUAUGUCUGUGUAAGGGAUCUUCUCAUAUGUCUGUGUAAGGGAUCUUCUCAUAUGUCUGUGUAAGGGAUCUUCUCAUAUGUCUGUGUAAGGGAU
rnacentral:lncRNA from 1 species